AGUGAACGCUGGCGGUAGGCCUAACACAUGCAAGUCGAACGGCAGCACAGUAAGAGCUUGCUCUUACGGGUGGCGAGUGGCGGACGGGUGAGGAAUACAUCGGAAUCUACUUUUUCGUGGGGGAUAACGUAGGGAAACUUACGCUAAUACCGCAUACUACCUACGGGUGAAAUCAGGGGAUCUUCGGACCUUGCGCGAUUGAAUGAGCCGAUGUCGGAUUAGCUAGUUGGCGGGGUAAAGGCCCACCAAGGCGACGAUCCGUAGCUGGUCUGAGAGGAUGAUCAGCCACACUGGAACUGAGACACGGUCCAGACUCCUACGGGAGGCAGCAGUGGGGAAUAUUGGACAAUGGGCGCAAGCCUGAUCCAGCCAUACCGCGUGGGUGAAGAAGGCCUUCGGGUUGUAAAGCCCUUUUGUCGGGAAAGAAAAGCAGCAGGUUAAUACGCCGAUGUUCUGACGGUACCCAAAGAAUAAGCACCGGCUAACUUCGUG
rnacentral:rRNA from 1 species